rnacentral:rRNA from 1 species
UUGAACUGAAGAGUUUGAUCCUGGCUCAGAUUGAACGCUGGCGGCAUGCCUUACACAUGCAAGUCGAACGGCAGCACGGGCUUCGGCCUGGUGGCGAGUGGCGAACGGGUGAGUAAUACAUCGGAACAUGUCCUGUAGUGGGGGAUAGCCCGGCGAAAGCCGGAUUAAUACCGCAUACGAUCUACGGAUGAAAGCGGGGGACCUUCGGGCCUCGCGCUAUAGGGUUGGCCGAUGGCUGAUUAGCUAGUUGGUGGGGUAAAG